rnacentral:rRNA from 1 species
CCUCGGGUGGCAGCAGUGGGGAAUAUUGGACAAUGGGCGAAAGCCUGAUCCAGCCAUGCCGCGUGUGUGAAGAAGGCCUUCGGGUUGUAAAGCACUUUCAGUGGGGAAGAAAGCCUUGGGGCUAAUACCCUCGAGGAAGGACAUCACCCACAGAAGAAGCACCGGCUAACUCCGUGCCAGCAGCCGCGGUAAUACGGAGGGUGCGAGCGUUAAUCGGAAUUACUGGGCGUAAAGCGCUCGUAGGCGGUCUGAUAAGCCGGGUGUGAAAGCCCCGGGCUCAACCUGGGAACGGCAUCCGGAACUGUCAGGCUAGAGUGCAGGAGAGGAAGGUAGAAUUCCCGGUGUAGCGGUGAAAUGCGUAGAUAUCGGGAGGAAUACCAGUGGCGAAGGCGGCCUUCUGGACUGACACUGACGCUGAGGUGCGAAAGCGUGGGUAGCAAACAGGAUUAGAUACCCCAGUAGUC